GCGCCGGAAGCGGCCGGCCGGCCCCCUCCCCGCGGCGCCCGCCGCCUUAUCUCGGCGCCUCGGGGCCGCGGGAGGAGUCGCGGGCGCGCCAGGAGGGACGCGGCGGCGGCGGCGGCAUGGGCCGGGGGCCCCGGGGCGCGGGCCGCCCGCCUCGCCGCCUGCUGCCGCUCCUGCUGCUGCUCGGCCUGGCCCGCGGCGCGAGCGGAGCGCGGGGCGCCGACGGUUUAGAUGUCUGUGCCACUUGCCACAAACAUGCUACCUGCAAGCAAACAGAAGGGAUGAAGAUGUGUAUUUGCAAGUACGGAUUUGUGGGCAAUGGGAGGACUCACUGCGUUGAUAAAAAUGAGUGCCAGUUUGGAGCCACUGUGGUCUGUGGAAACCACACAUCUUGCCACAACACGCUCGGAGGCUUUUAUUGCAUUUGCCUAGAAGGAUAUCGAGCCACGAAUAACAACAAAACAUUCAUUCCCAAUGAUGGCACCUUUUGCACAGACAUAGAUGAGUGUGAGAUUUCUGGCCUGUGCAGACAAGGAGGACGGUGUGUGAACACUUACGGAAGUUUCGAAUGCUACUGUAUGGAUGGGUACUUGGCAAAGAAUGGGCCUGAGCCUUUCCACCCGACCAGAGAUGCCACGUCAUGCACAGAAAUAGACUGUGGCACCCCUCCUGAGGUCCCAGAUGGCUAUAUCGUAGGAAAUUAUACUUCUAGGCUUGGCAGCCAGGUUCGUUAUGCUUGCAAAGAAGGAUUUUUCAGUGGUCUGGAAGAUACAGUUUCAAGCUGCACAGCCUUGGGCACGUGGGACUCCCCAAAAUUAUAUUGCCAAGAGAUCAACUGUGGCCGUCCUCCGGAAGUGCAGCAUGCAGUCCUGGUGGGGAAUCACAGCUCCAGGCUGGGCAGUGUGGCUCAUUACGUCUGUCAAGAGGGCUUUGAAAGCCCUGGAGGAAAGAUCAUUUCCAUUUGCACAGAGAAAGGCACUUGGAGAGAAAGUCCUUUGACAUGCACAGAAAUAAUUGCAGAAGUUAAUGAUGUAUCAGUGUUUAAUAACAGCUGUGUGAGGUGGCAAAUAAACCCAGGAAGAACAGUCUCCAAGAUUAUCUAUGUGAUACACAUAAAAGGACAACGGUUGCACCCUGUGGAAUCAGUUCAUGAGGAGACCGUCAACUUGACCACAGACAGCAGGACCCCCGAAGUGUGCCUAGAUCUGUACCCAGGCACCAACUACACCGUGAGCAUCUUCACCGCCCUGCCCACACGCUCCGUGCCCGCCAUCAUUGGGUUCCAGACAGCUGAAGAUGAUCUCUCAGAAGAUGAUGCAACUUUCAAUAUUUCAAUAUUCAGCGAAGCUUGUUUGAAACUGAGCAGGGGCCCUAGGAAAGCUGGAUCAGAACAAACGUACCAAUUUAAAGUUCUGGGUCAGAGGUGGUAUCUGAAUAAUUUUUAUCAUGCCGCAUCAUUUAACUUCACAACGAGGGAACAAGCUCCAGUAGUGUGUUUAGACCUGUACCCAGCAGCGGAUUACACAGUGAAUAUCACUCUACUGGGAUCUUCUGAGCAGCACUCAGUGCAAAUAACAAUGACAACUGCACCAGCAGUAAAACAGAUCAUCAGUAACAUUUCAAUAUUUAAUGAAACCUGCUUGAGAUGGAGAAGUACAAAAACAGCUGAUACAGAGGAGAUGUAUUCAUUCCACAUUCAGGGCCAGAGAUGGUAUCAGAAGGAAUUUUCCCAGGAAAUAAUCUUUAAUAUCACUACCAGCAGUCAGGCUCCCGAGGUGUGCUUGGACCUGCAUCCGGGCACCAACUACAGUGUCCACGUCCAGGCUUUGUCUUCUGAACUUCCUGUGGUCCUCUCCCUGACAACCCAGAUAACAGAGCCUCCCCUUCCAGAAGUAGACUUUGUCACAGUGCAUGGAAAGCCUCUACCACGUCUGAGACUGAGGAAAGCCAAGGAGAAAAAUGGACCGAUCAGUUCCUACCAGGUGUUGGUGCUUCCCCUGGCCCUCCAAAGCACUUUUUUUUGUGAUUCUGAAGGGGCUACCUCAUUCUUUAGCAACACCUCUGAUGCCAGUGGAUAUGUGGCUGCGGAACUACUGGCCAAAGAUGUCCCAGAUGAUGCCAUGGAGAUAUCUAUUGGGGACAGGCUGUACUAUGGGAAAUACUAUAAUGCACCUUUGAGAAAAGGGAAUGAUUACUGCAUUAUAUUACGAAUCACAAGUGAAUGGAAUAAGGUGAGAAGAUGCUCCUGUGCAGUUUGGGCUCACGUGAAAGAUUCGUCAUUCAUGCUGCAGCAGAUGGUGGGCGUUGGGCUGGGCUCCGUGGCUGUUGUGAUUAUUCUCGCAUUCCUGUCCUUCUCAGCCGUGUGAUUGCAGACGGGCACUACCUGUGGAGGAUGCACGGUGCUGGGGCAGAUGUUAUGGCUGUUUCUCAGGUGCCUGCCUAGACAGAGGCCCCAUGUGGCUUCCACCCAGGUCCCUAAAGCAUCUGCUGCAUCCGGGCCUCCAGGGUCUAUUAGCUUGAUGUCAUCAAUAUAAUGGGCCAGCAUCAUGUCCUAUGGAACAAGGAGAUAGUCAAGCACGGACUAAAUUGUGGCACAGAGGCAGAGUUGAUGUAAUCCCAAGGCAAGACAGCCAAGGUGGACAGCUAUGCUUGCCAGUUCUCCAGGUGGUUAUAACGUGCAACCAACGCAACCAACGCAGAUAAGCCGAACGUCAAGCCAUAAGCCUGACUUUGUAUCCCAGAAGAAAGCCAACUGAUUUACCUGAUCAUUCUGGAUUGAAAUUGGGAAAUUGAAUAAGAGCCAGAGUUUUGCAUUGCAACCUGAGUGGACAUCGCAAACCUCCAACCUCUGAAAAUUAAGACAAUUAUAAAGUGAACUGUGAUGAUGAACACCUGCAGGCAUGACUGGUUAUGCAUUUACUUACUCCUCACUAUAAGGAGUUAAGAACUGUUGGUGUUCAGGGUGAGCCUAGUUCUCAGGAUCAGCACCCUACUUAGGGUGUAUCGUACUCCUGGAUGUUUUAGCAAAUACACAGGACUAUGACAGUACCAUCUAGAACUGGAAGGAGCUACAACCUCUCAGUUUACAGUUUAAAAAACAAAAUACAGAUGUUCUCAAAGUA